GGAGGAAAGUAGGGGAUCGAAAGACCUUAUGCUUUUGGAGCGGCCGAUGUCUGAUUAGCUAGUUGGUAAGGUAAUGGCUUACCAAGGCGACGAUCAGUAGUUGGUCUGAGAGGACGGCCAGCCACACUGGGACUGAGACACGGCCCAGACUCCUACGGGAGGCAGCAGUGGGGAAUUUUGGACAAUGGGCGCAAGCCUGAUCCAGCAAUGCCGCGUGAGUGAAGAAGGCCUUCGGGUUGUAAAGCUCUUUCAGUCGAGAAGAAAAGGUUGUGACUAAUAAUUGCAAUUUAUGACGGUAUCGACAGAAGAAGCACCGGCUAACUACGUGCCAGCAGCCGCGGUAAUACGUAGGGUGCGAGCGUUAAUCGGAAUUACUGGGCGUAAAGGGUGCGCAGGCGGCUAUGUAAGUCAGAUGUGAAAUCCCCGGGCUUAACCUGGGAACUGCGUUUGAAACUACAAAGCUAGA
rnacentral:rRNA from 1 species